rnacentral:rRNA from 1 species
UGGGGAAUAUUGCACAAUGGGCGGAAGCCUGAUGCAGCGACGCCGCGUGGGGGAUGAAGGCCUUCGGGUUGUAAACUCCUUUCGACAGGGACGAAGCUUUUGUGACGGUACCUGUAUAAGAAACACCGGCUAACUACGUGCCAGCAGCCGCGGUAAUACGUAGGGUGCGAGCGUUGUCCGGAAUUACUGGGCGUAAAGAGCUCGUAGGUGGUUUGUCGCGUCGUCUGUGAAAUUCCGGGGCUUAACUCCGGGCGUGCAGGCGAUACGGGCUGACUUGAGUGCUGUAGGGGAGACUGGAAUUCCUGGUGUAGCGGUGAAAUGCGCAGAUAUCAGGAGGAACACCGAUGGCGAAGGCAGGUCUCUGGGCAGUAACUGGCGCUGAGGAGCGAAAGCAUGGGUAGCGAACAGG